rnacentral:rRNA from 1 species
CCAGACUCCUACGGGAGGCAGCAGUGGGGAACCUUGCGCAAUGGGCGGAACCCUGAUGCAGCGACGCCGCGUGUGGGAAGACGGUCCUCUGGAUUGUAAACCACUGUCCCCAGGGACGAAGAUGACGGUACCUGGGGAGGAAGCUCCGGCUAACUACGUGCCAGCAGCCGCGGUAAUACGUAGGGAGCGAGCGUUGUCCGGAAUUACUGGGUGUAAAGGGAGCGUAGGCGGGACUGCAAGUUGGGUGUCAAAUCUACCGGCUCAACCGGUAGCCGCACUCAAAACUGCAGUUCUUGAGUGAAGUAGAGGCAGGCGGAAUUCCUAGUGUAGCGGUGAAAUGCGUAGAUAUUAGGAGGAACACCAGUGGCGAAGGCGGCCUGCUGGGCUUUUACUGACGCUGAGGCUCGAAAGUGUGGGGAGCAAACAGGAUUAGAUACCCCAGUA